rnacentral:lncRNA from 1 species
CAAAGCAUAAAAUUGAUUUGCUUUUCUAAAUGAUCCCUUGUUGAAAGAAGUUAUUUAAGAUUUCAGUCGGUUUCUAUUUCACUAGGAAGGAAAGAACGUAAUGUUCAACACCUAUUCCAAUGCCUUUCACUCCUUAAAACACACACCUCUGACCUCUCCUAUGUAUAAAAUGUAGCUCCUGCAAAAUUCUGUAGUAUGGCAGCCGAGCCACAGUGGAAAGGGGAUGAAUAGAGGUGUAUCUUUUUUGUCAAAACAAACCAGUUUUGCAACGAUGUUGCAGUUCACUUUUGUAUUUGAUUAUAAUAUAAUCUUGUGUUUGCUCAAUAGCAUUCGACAAUGAACAUGCAUGUUGUAGUCAUCUUUAUCGCUAGCGAAAAAUAAUUAGGCAAUGGAAUGUUGGGCAG